GGAAGGGUCGCUCAGCGGUAGAGCAUCGCGGUGCCACCGCGACGGCAGCACAUGCCUCGUGGCGUUCAAAUCCCACCCCUUCCG
rnacentral:tRNA from 2 species